rnacentral:snoRNA from 1 species
AAACCAUAAUAAGGACACUCUAAGAGAAGAUCUUUGAAACGCUCCAUACAUCAAGAGAACGAUUCGAUGGGUCUUUGGUGAAACUGGAGAAUGUCGUUCCUAAGUUU